ACCAGCUGGUGGGGAGGUUUCCUUUGGCUGCAGCCGCCUUCCCGAGCGGUCCCGAACCGUCCGGAACCGUGCUGCACUUUCUCUCGUCGUUCCUUCUGGUCCCGUCGACUACAGUCCUGGUGCCCCGGGCCGUGCGGGCUCUGCGGCUGUCUGAGAAGCAGAUGGAGACUGUCCCUUGGACGGCUCUGCGGGCCGUGCGGCAGACAACAACUGCUUCUGUCCCGCAGAACCCUGAUCCGCCACGCCUGAGGCCUCCCCUGUGUGCAGGGUUGGGGCCUGCUGGGUGAACCCACCAUGUGCAGAGGCAUCAUGGGAGUUCUCUCAGGAACAUUCUAGACCCCAGUGUCCCUGAGCAGCUUAAAGAUGAGACCACACUGGAACCCAGACGUCUGUUAUGACUACCUGCUGCUCCGUGGCGUCCUCCUCACUCCAAGAGUGCUGCCUUGAAUCUGGAGAUUGUUGGAGGAAGCCAGAGGGGAUGGAAGCACCAGCCCUUUCGGGGUGAGCUGGGUCCCAGCUGCCCUGGGGGGACCUCCUCAUGAUGAUGUCGGGGUUGAUCGUGGACGCUGGAGUGGCAUGGUGGAGAAGGACGUUGCCAUAUGAAGCAUUGCCAGACCUCCUUGCCCGGUUGCCUCAGCACAGCAUGGAAGGCCUUUUCCGUCUGUGUAUGCAGGCCCGAGGGAAAGCCCUGGCACUCUGGAAGCUUGAGGUCCAGAGCUAGAGACUUUAGCUGUUUCUGCCGCUCCCCCAGCAGCUGUCACCAAGCGCUGUUGACCAGGAAGACCAGUUCCCUUCCACCUGGGCCAUGUUGUCCAGCAGCCUCCACGUCUCCCCGCCUCCUCCCCCUGUAACUUUUUAGAACCAAGAGUUUCCUGCACAGUGCAUCCUUGUCCUCUCACCCACCCAAUAAAUUUUGAA